rnacentral:rRNA from 1 species
AUUGAACGCUGGCGGCAGGCCUAACACAUGCAAGUCGAGCGAGAGGCGGACGGGUGAGUAAUGUAUGGGGAACUGCCCGAUAGAGGGGGAUAAAUACUGGAAACGGUAGCUAAUACCGCAUACUAUCGGAUGAACCCAUAUGGGAUUAGCUAGUUGGUGGGGUAAAGGCUCACAUGGGCGACGAUCUCUAGCUGGUCUGAGAGGAUGAGCAGCCACACUGGAACGGUGACACGGCCCAGACUCCUACGGGAGGCAGCAGGGGGGAUGAUUGCACAAUGGGCGCAAGCCUGAUGCACCAAUGCCGCGUGAAUGAAGAAGGCCUUCGGGUUGUAAAGUUCUUUCGGUAGCGCGGCGUUAACUACAGAAGAAGCACCGGCUAACUCCGUGCCAGCAGCCGCGGUAAUAC